UUUUACAAUGAAGAGUUUGAUCCUGGCUCAGGAUGAACGCUAGCUACAGGCUUAACACAUGCAAGUCGAGGGGCAGCAUGGUCUUAGCUUGCUAAGGCUGAUGGCGACCGGCGCACGGGUGAGUAACACGUAUCCAACCUGCCGUCUACUCUUGGCCAGCCUUCUGAAAGGAAGAUUAAUCCAGGAUGGGAUCAUGAGUUCACAUGUCCGCAUGAUUAAAGGUAUUUUCCGGUAGACGAUGGGGAUGCGUUCCAUUAGAUAGUAGGCGGGGUAACGGCCCACCUAGUCAACGAUGGAUAGGGGUUCUGAGAGGAAGGUCCCCCACAUUGGAACUGAGACACGGUCCAAACUCCUACGGGAGGCAGCA
rnacentral:rRNA from 1 species